rnacentral:lncRNA from 10 species
CAGGAAGGUUGGAAGGAGGAAGAAAGGAUCUCCUUAGGCACAGGAUACAGCAAGUCCUGCGGGCGCAGGAGGUUGCAGCCAGGCUAACAGAAACCCAGCCCUGCCCACUGGGUGAAACUGCAAGUCGAGAGCGUGGGAAACCAGCAAGUUGAGAGAGGAUCCAGAAGUAACCCCUUCUAAAAUGGGAAAGAUGCCUUCCGAAAGACCGGAUGGCCUGGUACUGGUCUUCUCUAGACUGAAGGUCCUCCACCAGGUCUCCUGCUGCUGCUACCUAAGAAAGAAAUCUCACAAGGGUGUUAAAAGCACUUGGCCCUAA